rnacentral:tRNA from 1 species
GUAGCUCAGUCUGGUAGAGCACCGGCCCUUAGGGGUGUGUUUCUCAUUCUCGUCGCCGUGACCCAUUUCAAGCUGGCGAAUGCCGGCGGGACUACAGGGUAGAGCACCCGCUGAGAGGCGGGAGGUCGGCGGUUCAACUCCGCCUCCGG